rnacentral:rRNA from 1 species
GACGAACGCUGGCGGCGUGCCUAAUACAUGCGAGUCGAACGAGAGCGACCGGUGCUUUCACUGGUCAAUCUAGUGGCGAACGGGGGAGUAACACGUAGGUAACCGUCCCAUCAGGGGGGGAUAACAUCCGGAAACGGAUGCUAAAACCGCAUAGGUCUUCGAGCCGCAUGGCUUGAAGAGUAAAAGAGGCGCGAGCUUCUGCUGGUGGAUGUACCCGCGGUGCAUUAGCUAGUUGGUGAGGUAACGGCUCACCAAGGCCGUGAUGCAUAGCCGACCUGAGAGGGUGAUCGGCCACAUUGGGACUGAGACACGGCCCAAACUCCUACGGGAGGCAGCAGUAGGGAAUCUUCCGCAAUGGACGCAAGUCUGACGGAGCCACGCCGCGUGAGUGAAGAAGGUUUUCGGAUCGUAAAACUCUGUUGUUAGAGAAGAACAAGUGCUAGAGUAACUGUUAGCGCCUUGACGGUACCUAAAUAGAAAGCAACGGCUAACUACGUG